GCACCUUCUUCACAGCUCCAUAAUGAAGAGGUCUCUGCCUGUGUUGUUCUCCACAGCAGAGCCUGUUUCCUAAUUAAAAUAGCUUGUGGCCCAAUGUGACUGCUCUCUGUAUGUGGUUAGCACUGUGGAAGUUGGCCUGCUCCAGAAAGCUGGCUUCCUUGGGAAAGGCCAUUGAAGGUGCCGUUGUCACCUUAUUUUCUCACUAUGCUAAUUCUGUCAUUUUUGUCAUAGAACCCUGUUGGAGUCAUUUCUUCGGACUGUUGUAAGUGUAAAUAAAUCAUCCAUUUUCAGCCUGACCUUUAGGACGUCUCUCGGCUUCUUGACCACUCCGGCAUUUCUCCCACUGUUCCAGCAACAACUACACUUGUGAGUGGCAUUUUCAAGAACGAAGCUCCCUGAGAGAAAAUUUAAGCCAUGCUAUGUGGCUUUGUCCUGCAGAAGUGAACUAAAGUCCAGCAUUCUG
rnacentral:lncRNA from 1 species